UGGGGAAUAUUGCACAAUGGGCGCAAGCCUGAUGCAGCCAUGCCGCGUGUAUGAAGAAGGCCUUCGGGUUGUAAAGUACUUUCAGUCGGGAGGAAGGUGGUAAGGUUAAUAACCUUGGCAAUUGACGUUACCGACAGAAGAAGCACCGGCUAACUCCGUGCCAGCAGCCGCGGUAAUACGGAGGGUGCAAGCGUUAAUCGGAAUUACUGGGCGUAAAGCGCACGCAGGCGGUUUGUUAAGUCAGAUGUGAAAUCCCCGGGCUCAACCUGGGAACUGAAUCUGAUACUGGCAAGCGUGAGUCUCGUAGAGGGGGGUAGAAUUCCAGGUGUAGCGGUGAAAUGCGUAGAGAUCUGGAGGAAUACCGGUGGCGAAGGCGGCCCCCUGGACGAAGACUGACGCUCAGGUGCGAAAGCGUGGGGAGCAAACAGG
rnacentral:rRNA from 1 species